UAGCAGUGAGGAAUAUUGGUCAAUAGCCUAACGGCUGAACCAGCAACUUGGAGGAAUGUAUAGCAAUAGCUGAUUGCACCAACAAACAGUUGAUGCAAUAUCGACUAUGUCGAAUAAAAUUCUAGGUAGAAUUAUGAUAAUGACAUUGUCUGCCUAUGUGUCUUGACCAACAUACGUGCCAGCAGUCGCGGUAAUACGUAAAAGACUAGUGUUAUUCAUCUUUAAUAGGUUUAAAGGGUACCUAGACGGUAAAUCAAGCCUUUUACCUUAGGGACUAAUUUACUAGAGUUACUUGUGAGGGGGUUUUAAAGUACUGCUGGUGUAGAGAUGAAAUUCUGUCAUACCUCUUUUCGUAAGAAAAACUAUGGCACAGGUAUAGGCGAAAGCAUCCCCUUAUGUGAUAACUGACGUUGA
rnacentral:rRNA from 1 species